rnacentral:rRNA from 1 species
UAGUCAUAUGCUUGUCUCAAAGAUUAAGCCAUGCAUGUCUAAGUUCAUGCCUUUAUACGGUGAAACCGCGAAUGGCUCAUUAAAUCAGCUAUGGUUUAUUGGAUCAUACUCGUUAAAUGGAUAACUGUAAUAACUCUAGAGCUAAUACAUGCCACGAAGCCCUGACCCCGGGCUCCCUCGGGGAAUGGGUGCACUUAUUAGAACAGAAGCCAACCAGUCUCCGCGUGCAUUCCCUCCUUCGGGAGGUGUGUGCGCGGGCUGCAGCACUUCUGGUGACUCUGGAUAAUUGUUACAGAUCGCAGUCGGCUUUACGUCGGGGACGGGUCCUUCAAAUGUCUGCCCUAUCAACUUUCGAUG